rnacentral:rRNA from 1 species
UGCAAGUUCGAGCGGACAGAUGGGAGCUUGCUCCCUGAUGUUAGCGGCGGACGGGUGAGUAAACUUGGGUAACCUGCCUGUAAGACUGGGAUAACUCCGGGAAACCGGGGCUAAUACCGGAUGGUUGUUUGAACCGCAUGGUUCAAACAUAAAAGGUGGCUUCGGCUACCACUUACAGAUGGACCCGCGGCGCAUUAGCUAGUUGGUGAGGUAACGGCUCACCAAGGCAACGAUGCGUAGCCGACCUGAGAGGGUGAUCGGCCACACUGGGACUGAGACACGGCCCAGACUCCUACGGGAGGCAGCAGUAGGGAAUCUUCCGCAAUGGACGAAAGUCUGACGGAGCAACGCCGCGUGAGUGAUGAAGGUUUUCGGAUCGUAAAGCUCUGUUGUUAGGGAAGAACAAGUACCGUUCGAAUAGGGCGGUACCUUGACGGUACCUAACCAGAAAGCCACGGCUAACUACGUGCCAGCAGCCGCGGUAAUACGUAGGUGGCAAGCGUUGUCCGGAAUUUUUGGGCGUAAAGGGCUCUCAGG